GAGGUAUCAAAAUCAUUCUCGGAGGAUAGAAAACACGGUUGUAAUAUCGUUGAAAUAAUUUCGCGAAUACCUGCUGCGGUGUAUCCUCAAUCUAAUAUGUAAUAUUAUGACAUAUUAAUCAGAUUAUAAAUUCAUCUCGCUUGCGACGAGAUUGCGUGUGGGUCGCAAUUACACGUAGAUAAUUCGCUAAAUUUUUAUCCUAUUUACACGAAUAACAUACGGUCGAUAUUUAUGUUAACGAAAGAUUUCUUUCUCCCUCCUCGUUCCCCUCCAUCGCACUUAAUUUCAAAAUUUUACAAACAAUUCCCCCAUCUCCGGUACAGUCACAUCCACAAAACUCGAAAUUCUCAGUUCAUCGAUGUUAUCUCAGAUUGCACAUUAACAACGUGACUGCGACAUUAAAAUAGAACCAUCCUUCAAUGUGUUUCGCUGCGCUGCCUGCAAUACAAAACAGAGAAUCUGAAAUUUUCAUAACAGCGGCGUCUUUAUUAUUAUUUUAUUUCGAAGAUAGAGCACGAUUUGCGGAACGUACCAAUAUGGGAAGAUUCUCGUGUUCCUAAAACGGAUGCCAAACGUGGCCGUUCCUCCAUUAAAUCGACAGAGGCUUCUUUUUUAUACAAAUGAAAGACUUUGGCGUGGCAAACCACGUGUAAUCUGCCGUUACCAAAACUAUCUGGUAUUAUCUCGAAAUCCAGUCCUGCGAUAGUCAUUCGUUGCUGAUUGUCACCAAGUUUGUCCGUCAUGUUCAGCGUGAAACUAGCAUUCACCUGUAACAGAAAAUCACUUUCAACGUUCAACGAAGUCCAAAGUAUCUUGUAUAGGCAUCGACUGAAAUAAGGGAACUAUUAUUCACUUUUGUUAUCUAUCACGAUGGCGAAGUAACAUUUAAUAAACGCAACAGCAUUUGGUAUUAAUCCUAUUGUGUUAAAAUAAUGAACCUGACCAUCUUUAAAUAGGCAUCAACUGAAAUAAGGGAGCUAUUGUUCACUUUUGUUAUCUAUCAUAAUAGCGAAGUCACAUUUAAUAAACGCAACAGCAUUUGGUAUUAAUCCAAUAGUGUUAAAAUAAUGAACCUGACCAUCUUUAAAUAGGCAUCGACUGAAAUAAGGGAGCUAUUGUUCACUUUUGUUAUCUAUCAUGAUGGCGAAGUAACAUUUAAUAAACGCAACAGCAUUUGGUAUUAAUCCAAUAGUGUUAAAAUAAUGAACCUGACCAUCUUUAAAUAGGCAUCGACUGAAAUAAGGGAGCUAUUGUUCACUUUUGUUAUCUAUCAUGAUGGCGAAGUAACAUUUAAUAAACGCAACAGCAUUUGGUAUUAA